ensembl:lncRNA
AUAUCUGUCUGGACAUCCCUACAUCUACGGGAAAGGCUCUAGCAAGUCUUAUUCAUUCUUCAAGAGAGAGCAUGUUCUCAGCUACCCUAUCUUAGCCUGCUGGAGUUCAGUAGACUACGGACGUGACUACAGGCAGAUGGUGCAUAAAAUUCACGAACAAGAGAAAAAAAGCCUUUGAAAGCAUUCAUCUGAAGUUUGACGUGAAAAGUACACAAGACUACAAAAACAGCAGUAACUGGUCAGACUAAAGGUAUGGCUGUCCCAGUAUCCUGUAUCCAGAAAUGGCUUGGGGAUGUCUAUGGAAAAAGUAUAAGAGGUAGCACAAACAUUAAAAUAUUUUUUUCCCUCCCCCCAGCUUCCUGAAAUCAACUAACCAGGCCCAAGCACUCUAGGAUCAAAGACUUAUCAUUCAGAUGAGGAACUUUUUGACAUCCCCUUAGAAGAAAUAGAAAAGUUGCCCAGCCUGGUGUGUGAAGACCUGAAGUUCCUCUUCUUUGUGACCAAAUUCACUGCAGCAGAAAUAUCCUCACAUCAGCUGUUUCCUGAUGCCAACAAAUGAUUCAGAUGGCACAUUCAACCUGCCUGCCAGGAACAGCCAGGGGAAAAACAGCAAAUACAUAAUGCUCUCCGGGGACCUGACCCUCAUCUUUUCCAGAGGAUUAAUACACAAGAAAAUACACAAGCACUGGUCAGAUUUUGGCCCCCAGUUU